CGAAUGGUGGGCAUCAAUUCUGAGUUUGAUCCGACGGUUAUGGUUGAUGCCAGUUGGGAGAACUGAAACUGAAGAGAUCCUGUGUGCGAUCCGAUGGUCAAAAAUGAAGAUCAAGCCUGAUCCAAUAGCCAGUACUGAUUUUCAAUUGAUUUAGGAUUCUUUUUGAUGUGAUCUCGGGCGUUCGAUCAAGAUUUGAUAGCCAGAAGGCUGAGACAUAGUUGGGAUGCGAAGUUGAGAGGAAUCGGGAGUCUAUGGAUGGUUAGGACUCAGAGAUGUUGAAGGCCAUAAAAACAAGGGACUGUGAACAGAAGAAAAGCAUCCGAGAGGCAAGUGGGCAACAGAGAAAACAGAAAGAUCCAAGGCAGCAACAACUUUUAUUUUUUAGCUCAUCUUAGAGAAAGGGAAGAAUAUGGAGGAAGUGAUGA
rnacentral:lncRNA from 1 species